rnacentral:rRNA from 1 species
GGGGAAUAUUGGGCAAUGGGCGAAAGCCUGACCCAGCGACGCCGCGUGGGUGAUGAAGGCCUUCGGGUUGUAAAACCCUUUCGUGCGGAAAGAACAGUCCUGUAGCGAAUAACUACGGGAUUUGACGGUACCGCAGGAAGAAGCACCGGCUAACUCCGUGCCAGCAGCCGCGGUAAUACGGAGGGUGCAAGCGUUGUUCGGAAUUAUUGGGCGUAAAGGGCGCGUAGGUGGUUGUGAUAGUCAGAUGUGAAAUCCUUCGGCUCAACCGAAGAACUGCAUCUGAAACUUCAUAGCUCGAGUACAGGAGAGGGAAACGGAAUUCCCGGUGUAGAGGUGAAAUUCGUAGAUAUCGGGAGGAACACCAGUGGCGAAGGCGGUUUCCUGGCCUGAUACUGACGCUGAGGCGCGAAAGCGUGGGGAGCAAAC